rnacentral:rRNA from 1 species
GAAUCCCGUCUUUGGCACGGAAACCCCAGGGCUUUUGUGAUGCGCUCUCGAAGAGUCGAGUUGUUUGGGAAUGCAGCUCAAAAUGGGUGGUGAACUCCAUCUAGAGCUAAAUAUUGGCGAGAGACCGAUAGCGAACAAGUACCGUGAGGGAAAGAUGAAAAGCACUUUGGAAAGAGAGUGAAACAGUACGUGAAAUUGUUGAAAGGGAAACGCUUGAAGUCAGUCGCGUCGACCGAGACUCAGCCUUGCCCUUGGCUUGGUGUACUUCUCGGCUGACGGGUCAGCAUCAAUUUUGCCCCUUGGAUAAUGGCGAGGGAAAUGUGACACCUUUACGGUGUGUUAUAGUCUCUUGUCGCAUGCAAGGGGGUUGGGAUUGAGGAACUCAGCACGCACCUUUGGGUGUCGGGGCUUUGCCCACGAUACGUGCUUAGGAUGUUGGCGUAAUGGCUUUAAACGACCCGUCUUGAAACACGGACCAAGGAGUCUAACAUGCCUGCGAGUGUUCGGGUGGAAAACUCGUGCGCGCAAUGAAAGUGAAAGUUGGGACCUCUGUCGUGGAGGGCACCGACGCCCGGACCAGACCUUCUGUGACGGCUCUGCGGUAAAGCAUGUAUGUUAGGACCCGAAAGAUGGUGAACUAUGCCUGAAUAGGGUGAAGCCAGAGGAAACUCUGGUGGAGGCUCGUAGCGAUUCUGACGUGCAAAUCGAUCGUCAAAUUUGGGUAUAGGGGCGAAAGACUAAUCGAACCAUCUAGUAGCUGGUUCCUGCC